AUACGGAGGAUGCGAGCGUUAUCCGGAUACAUUGGGUAUAAAGGGUGCGUAGGCGGCCCCCCAAGUCAGCGGUGAAAUGUCCGGGCCCAACCCGGAGGGAGCAGUUGCAUCUGCGGGGCUGGAGUACGGACGCCGGCGGAGGAACGGGUGGUGUAGGGGAGAAAUGCACAGAUAUCACUAAGAACACCGAUUGCGAAGGCGUCCGCCGAGGCGUUUACUGACGCUGAGGCACGAAAGCGUGGGGAUAGAACAGGAUUAGAUACCCUGUUAUCCCACGCCGUAAGCGAUGAUAACUAACCGCCGGGGGGUAGACUUCCGGCAGCCAAGCGAAAGCGAUAAGUCAUCCACCUGGGGAGUACGGCCGCAAGGCUGAAACUCAAAUGAAUCGGCGGGG
rnacentral:rRNA from 1 species